UUUGAUUUUAGGUGUUAACAAAAAGGUUUAAAUGUCUCAGAAGCUGUUCCUGGAGGACAGAAGGUGACUGAGCCAAAUGGGGGACUCAUAGCUGCACUGAUGGCAAAUCCAAGGUUGGAUCUUCAGCCCUGCAGCCCCAGGGAGGUGGGAACAAACAAGACCCAGAGAACCUGAAACACAGCAGACUGGAUAGAUAGGUCUGUGUCACUGAGGUGGCUCGAGGAAGCUCCUGACCACAGCCAACACCCUCCACAAAUCUGCUCACAAGAAAGGAGAGGAACCCAUGCCCCAGCCAGCCAUGCAAAGCAGCCCAGCAUGAACCAGUGUCACCGGUCCUGCCCUGGCUCUGGGAGCUGGAGGCAGCCCUGGGGCAGGCAGGAGCUGGGCUUGCUGAGAUGGGUUUGAGGAGCAGAAAUCCCUCCCUUUCUGUCCAUAGGGAAAUCCAGG